AUUGAAUUUUACAAUCCGUAGGUAUCUUUUGAGCAUCUAUUAUAUUACCUGGACCAUGUUCUUUUUGCCAUAAUCUGCACCAUGAGAAUCACUUGCUCCAAUAUGAGCUACAACACGAUAAAGAAAAAAUAAACUAAAUGGAUUUGGGAUACAUCCACGAGCAGGUACUUCACAGUCAGAAGUGGUCUGGUUCUUAAAUUGAGGAAUCUGGCAUUUUUAACAAGACAGCUUUUGAAUAUACUUACAGACACUCCAUCACCCUUGUACUACAGUGUGGGGGAAUACUUUCAAAGGGCACAUUUUGGAAAAUGAUGAACAAGUUUGUAACUUGUUCUAUUUAUGGGAAGAAGAGAGGGUUGGUUAACCUGAAUCAUUGCUCUGUGCCUGACAUAAAACCACAGGAACCUUGCAACGCACAUGGGUUUUUCACCUUCCACACCCCUCACAGCCUCUCAGCACGCACUGUCAAUUUUGCUACAUAAAUAAACUUAGCAAAGUAUGUAAAUGCUGGGGAAGGUUGUUAUCUGAGAUGAAGAAAAUAUUGUCAGCUAAACUAGGGACAAAAACUUAAAGCUUCUAGUGCUAGAUUUAUGGUCUGGAAUCAUUACCAAACUAUUUCAUCCGCAUUAGCAAGACUCUGCAUCGCUGGAGGUAAAAGGCUGCAGUGAAUAUAUAUUAUGGCCCAGGGUCUUGAUCACAUUUUUUUAUGCCUGUCGUUUUUGUUUCUCGGACGUUAACAGAGAAAGUUUGCCGGGAAAGACCGUCAGGCCAGGACUCCAGGCAUAUGGUGGACUCUUAACACGUAUUUGUGGAAAUACAUGCAUUUUCUUGUUAUCAGAACUUCAGGCAAGAGAAGAGGAUCUGGGACAGAAGACUGAGGAAUACCAACAUUUAAGGGAUGGGCAGAGUUACCUCAAAUUUCCCUCUUCACAUUCCCUCUCAUAUUCAGCCAGUGUCCUUUUAUUUAUUUACUUUUUACUGAGGAAGAUUAGCCCUGAGAUAACAUCUCCC
rnacentral:lncRNA from 1 species